rnacentral:rRNA from 1 species
AUUGAACGCUGGCGGCAGGCCUAACACAUGCAAGUCGAACGAGUGGCGGACGGGUGAGUAAUGCUUGGGAAUCUGCCUGCUGGAGGGGGAUAACGACUGGAAACUGUCGCUAAUACCGCAUACCAUAGGAUGAGCCCAGGUGGGAUUAGCUGGUUGGUGGGGUAAAGGCUCACCAAGGCGACGAUCCCUAGCUGGUCUGAGAGGAUGACCAGCCACACUGGAACUGAGACACGGUCCGGACUCCUACGGGAGGCAGCAGUGGGGAAUAUUGGGCAAUGGGCGCAAUCCUGAUGCAGCCAUGCCGCGUGAAUGAAGAAGGCCUUCGGGUUGUAAAGUCCUUUCGUCGGGGAGGCGUUACCCAAAGAAUAAGCACCGGCUAACUCCGUGCCAGCAGCCGCGGUAAUAC